rnacentral:rRNA from 1 species
CUCCAGACUCCUACGGGAGGCAGCAGUAGGGAAUCUUUCACAAUGGGCGAAAGCCUGAUGGAGCAACGCCGCGUGCAGGAUGAAGGCCUUCGGGUUGUAAACUGCUUUUGUCAGGGAGCAAUUGGGUCCACGCGUGGGCUUAGCGAGAGUACCUGAAGAAAAAGCAUCGGCUAACUCCGUGCCAGCAGCCGCGGUAAUACGGAGGAUGCGAGCGUUAUCCGGAUUUAUUGGGUUUAAAGGGUGCGUAGGCGGAAUAUCAAGUCAGCGGUAAAAAUUCGGGGCUCAACCCCGUCGUGCCGUUGAAACUGAUGUUCUUGAGUGGGCGAGAAGUAUGCGGAAUGCGUGGUGUAGCGGUGAAAUGCAUAGAUAUCACGCAGAACUCCGAUUGCGAAGGCAGCGUACCGGCGCCCAACUGACGCUGAAGCACGAAGGCGUGGGUAUCGAACAGGAUUAGAUACCCCCGUAC